rnacentral:miRNA from 10 species
CUGCAAAGAUACCAGCUGCAGUGGGGGAGGCAUGGCCAGGGCUGUGCCCUCCAUGGAGCUGGUGGGAGCCAGGAACAGG